GACAAGCCAUCAGCACAGCCACCCUCAUCGUCACAGAAUACAACUCCUAGUCCACUGGAUCUGCAAUGCUAGCCUUGCCCCACCCUUCAGCUAUGAGAUGGAUUGCAGACCUCUGAAGCUUUGCUCCUGAUACCCACACUGACCUGGGGAGCAGUCCAGCAUGACAGGAAAUGUUCCAGGGUGAGACAGGAACAAGGGGGCUUCUGGUGAGAGUGACCAGAAGGGCUGAAGUCCUUGGAGAAGAAAUAGAAGAAGAGCGGAGGAUGUAGCCUGGAGCUGAAUGAAGGCUUGGAGUGACCCUGUUCCUGUUCUUUGUUCUGCACCUCUGGAGGAGCUCCAGAGAGAGUGGUCCACAGGGUGGAAACUGAGCCCACAGUGACCCCAGGAAUGGAAAGUCAUAGAGCAGAGGGCCUGGGUGAGGGCACCAAGGGGAGGCACUGUCUGUAUUUCAUUAAAAUGACAAGCAACUGAA
rnacentral:lncRNA from 1 species